rnacentral:misc_RNA from 1 species
AGCUGUAACCAAACUCUAGACUGUCAUGUAUCAAUUUUUAAUUUUUCUUAGCAUAAUUUAUUUGUUGGAAGGCCUCAUAGGAAUUCUAUCAAAAUUUUCGCAGGGCCAUUUGAUACAGCUUUCAAGCUUCUUUAAAUAGUUGCCGCCCUUGAUGUAAACAGUUGCUUUUUUUUUUUUUUGCCCUUUCUUUUUCUCCUGUCUAUAGUGGAAGAAUUUCCCUGGCCCAGCUGGAUCAGAAUUCGGAGUGAGACAUUCAACUAUUAUUUUAUCAACUGAUUAAUAGUGACUAGCUGUUAGCAACAGCUGAAAACCAAAUAUAUUCACUUGAAUGUGAAAUUCGUUUGGACUACUGAAUUUCAGCAUCGUAGAUUGGUUGUAUGUGUUACAACUCAUGGGAAUAGAAAUUUUAAUUACAGG